AUCAGGGGCGCCUCUCGCAUUGGUAGAAUAGAGAAGGUUGAGCACACAGAAGAAGAAUAAGCCUUUCUUAUUCUUUUAGCUUCUUUUAAAUGCUAAUAGAAGCUCAACAUAUGUGUCUCAUCUUUUCUUCAUCACAGAAUAUAGACAUCAAGGAGUGCUGAUAAGACACUAAAACAGGCAGUCAUGUGAAUCCAGCCUCACCUCAUCUCCCCCAUGAACCCUAUCUUUCUCAGUGAAACAUUUCCAUUCACAUGCUGCUAGAGGAAGGCAGCUGAGCCUCUUUGAGCACCAACAGCUGCAAUGGUGUGAUAAGGUGGCAAAAACCCAGGCCCGGGGUUUAUUUUUUAGCCACGGUCAGAAUCCUGGUGUUGUAGAGGUUUUGAGUACAACAACGAUACAUCACCACUAAGACCAUUUUCAUCAUUCCUCAUACAAUUUUAUGGUCCUAAAUGAAGACCUGCAGCCCAUGUUGACGUUUUUACCUCAACUGCUUUGUCAAAGGAAGAGAAAAGAGGAUUAUAACAAAAAUUGAUAAGAUGAAGGGAGGAAAAAAACUAAAAUGACAAAACUCUUCACAACAAGGCCAUUUUCCAUUUCCACCAAGGUGACAGUGAUCUAUGUCUCCUGUUGAGCAAUAUACUUUGUUUUCUACUUCUGUCCUUUAAUCUCAGAUAGACAAUAUAGAUAGAGAGUACAUCAGUUCAAGGAAGGAUAAGGCCCACCCUGUGGUGUUUUAUCAAUGACAUUCUGCUGGAAAUUCACUGUGUCAGCAUACUGUACAGAUUACUUGUAAAGCAUGCCUCUUCCAUCAAUUCCAAGUUUAAAUUGUA